GAUGAACGCUGGCGGCGUGCUUAACACAUGCAAGUCGAACGGGAAACAUUUUAUUGAAGCUUCGGCAGAUUUAGCUUGUUUCUAGUGGCGGACGGGUGAGUAACGCGUGGGUAACCUGCCUUAUACUGGUGGAUAACAGUCAGAAAUGGCUGCUAAUACCGCAUAAGCGAACGGAACCGCAUGGCUCAGUGGGAAAAACUCCGGUGGUGUAAGAUGGACGCGAGUUGGAUUAGCUAGUGGGGAGGGCAGGGGCCUACCAAGGCGACGAUCCAUAGCCGGCCUGAGAGGGUGAACGGCAACAUUGGGACUGAGACACGGCCCAGACUCCUACGGGAGGCAGCAGUGGGGAAUAUUGCACAAUGGGGGAAACCCUGAUGCAGCGACGCCGCGUGAAGGAAGAAGUAUCUCGGUAUGUAAACUUCUAUCAGCAGGGAAGAUAAUGACGGUACCUGACUAAGAAGCCCCGGCUAACUACGUGCCAGCCGCCGCCGUAA
rnacentral:rRNA from 1 species